UCAAGACGUUAGGCACAUCAACUGGAUCAAAUGGUUCCUUAAAUCAGUGGUGACAUGAAUGUGUUUGACUUGGCACGCCUCUCUCAUCUCAAUUCAUCACCUCCCCAAGGACAUAUCCUCCUGCUGCCAAGACCUGUCAGGCAGGAGCAUCUCAGAGUAAAGGGCUGGGACUGGAGCGAGGACUUUGCUGGAAUUAGGGAAGCGUGACGAUGUCAAAAGGGGCAAGAAGAGCUCGUUUUAAAGUUGGCCUGUUUUUAG